rfam:Glycine soja cultivar W05 scaffold4539_1, whole genome shotgun sequence.
UGAGUAACACAAACGUUGGUGAGAAUCCAAUGCCUCAAAAACCCAAGAGUUCCUCCGCAAGGUUCAUCCACGGAGGGUGAGUCAGGGCCUAAGAUCAGGCUGAAGGGCGUAGUCGAUGGACAACAGGUGAAUAUUCCUAUACUACCCUAUGUUGGUCUCGAGGGACGGAGGAGGCUAGGUUAGCCGAAAGAUGGUUAUCGGUUCAAAGAUGCAAGGUGCCCCUGCUUUUUCAGGGUAAUAAGGGAUAGAGAAAAUGUCUCAAGCUAAAGUUCGAGUACCAAGCGCUACAGCGCUGAAGUAAUCCAUCCCAUACUCCUAGGAAAAGCUCGAACGACUUUCAACAAAUGGAUACUUGUAUCUGAAACCGACACAGGUGGGUAGGUAGAGAAUACCUAGGGGCGCGAGACAACUCUCUGUAAGGAACUUGGCAAAAUAGCCCUGUAACUUCGGGAGAAGGGUUUCUGGAAUUCGCUAUUUAUUUUACACUUUUGAAAAGGGCCUUUUUGGAAUUAUGAAAAUAUACUAAUGAAAUAGUCUUUCUGGGAGACACUAUAUCUU